rnacentral:rRNA from 1 species
GAUGAACGCUGGCGGCGUGCCUAAUACAUGCAAGUCGAGCGAACAGACGAGGAGCUUGCUCCUCUGACGUUAGCGGCGGACGUGUGAGUAACACGUGGAUAACCUCCCUAUCAGUCUGGUAUAACUUCGGGACACCGGAGCUAAUACCGGAUAAUAUAUUGAACCGCAUGGUUCAAUAGUGAAAGUCGGUUUUGCUGUCUCUUAUAGAUGGUUCCGCGCCGCAUUAGCUAGUUGGUACGGUAAUGGCUUACCACGGCAACGAUGCGUAGCCGACGUGAGAGAGGGGUCGGCCACACGGGAGCGGAGACGCGGACCAGAGUACUAAGAGAGGCAGCAGUAGGGAAUCUGACGCAAUGGGCGAAAGCCUGGCGGAGCAACGCGGAGUGAGAGAUGAAGGUCUUCGGAGCGGAAAACUGGGUUAUGAGGGAAGAACAAAUGUGGAAGGGACUAUGCAGGGAGUGACGGUAACUAAUCAGAAAGCAACGGCUAACUACGUG